rnacentral:ncRNA from 1 species
GGGGACCUUCGGGGCCCUAUAACCAAGCAGCCCCACAUGGGUUGCGUUAAAAACGGAAGACAGAAA